AGUGUAAAUGAAAGGUGUGGAUGAUGAAUGCUACAUUUGCCGCUUUAUUAUUCCCGAGAGAGGAAAACAAACUCGGAGAGAGAGAUUAUAACCUCAAUAGUGUGAAAUGUCACCUGGGCAACGCAACGACCCAAGAGACAUACAUUUAGGUAAUUUAUGUUAUACUAAAUGUACAACAAGUGUAAUACAGGUUAUAUUAGCAACACUGCACUGUAAAUUCCAUCAUAAUAUAUUGAAUAUCAGAGAUGCAAUGGCCAGGAAAGCAUCCCAUUCAACUAACAAGAGCACAAUAGCCUCAAAGAGGGAAUCAUACAGCAACAUAUCAAAGUCAUGUACAAAAUGCAUAUGAAACGGCCUACACAAGGUACCAUUCUAUCAUGUCACGGAGGCAGUAUAAGUCAUCGCAGCUUUAGUGUAAGGAUAAAUCCCAGGAUAAAUCCCAGUUAUUAUCUUCAAUACUCAGGUGAAUCACGUCUCAAAGUUAUUCACAAAGCAGAACACGACUAGGUGCACAUCAACAGCUAAUCUCCAGUCAGUCCUAGAGGAGUUUUCUUGAGCAUAUUCUGGUUAGCAGCACUCAACAGCAUCCGUAACAGUUUCCCCAGUCAGGAGCAACUUGUAUCGAGGAACAUUCCAUUCACAAUUUCAUAAAGAUUGGGAAUCAAGGCCAUGUUCGGCAGCGUUACUCAUGUAAAUGCCUGCAGACCAGGAAGAAUUCUUAAUAGUCUUCACGAAUCAUGGAAAAGUUAUAUCCACAAUUACUUAUAAGAUAAAUCUUGAAGAGUCAAAAACAUUGACAAUCUUCAUAAAAGUCAACACUGCCAGGCGAGAGUUCCAAAUGGUCUUCUUUUCAGAUGACAAGAGGAAUCAGCCUUACAUGAAGAAAAUCAAAGAAAAGUUUGAGAAGAAAAACCGUACUAAGGUACAAGCUUGAUUCAAGUUCACGCAGACCAGUAAAGGUUGCCAAUUCUUCACAGGAUCAGAUAAUAUCUAGGACUCUAUCACCACAACAAUACCAUAAUGAGCAUAUAGAGAUCAUUAACAACGAGAGUUUCCUAUUCACCUACUUAUCAGGAAAAGGCUUGAGAAGAUCACAACCACACUCAGCGGCAGUCUUCACGUGAUUUCACACAAGCCAAUGUAGGCUUCACUCUACACAGGAUCAAGACAUCCAUAAUUAUUAUUAUUCAACGGAUAGUAUUUCCAUUCUUCAAUAUAUAAAUUCACAUUCCAUUUAAUAAAUCAUAAAUAUCAAGAUUAUAUAAUUCACUGUUAUUACUCAAUUAAUUUAAUUAUUGUUAAAUAUCAAUAAUAAUCCUGAUAUAAGUUCACAGAUUAUUGAAAACUUUCAACAAACCUACUGUAGUAUUUAAUAGACAAUAUUUCCAUAUACUAUCUCAGUAACAGCCUUUGUAUAAAUUCGUAUAGUCCAAUGAGGAGUACUCUUCACAGGAUCAAGGUUAUCUGUGAUUUGCAACAGGUUCCAAUAUUAUCACAAGUAUGGAGAUCAUCAGAAAGACUUGGGAAAUAGAGACACAGUGGCGAUCCCCGUACAAGUCAACACAAUCUUAUGAGGAUUUCUAUAUCACAGACUAUCAGUUGACGGCAAGCAUCAGCACUGUUGCACAAGAAAGUCACGAAAGAGAAGAAAUUCCAUCCUACCAAUAUAUGUUUGCAUCAAGAAAGCAAAUAACUACACUACAAUAGAAAUCUUCUUCAAGUUCAUUCAGAUAUGAGAUUUAGGCAUUCUUUAUCUAUAUCACAAAUGGAGAUGGCCUGAAAAAUAGCUGCAUCAUCGAGGGACAAGAGUAUAAUGUACUGCUAGCAAACCGAAAGCACCCGUAGUUUAAGACAAUCUUAAUUGAAAUAUAGCACCCAGCACCAAAUAAUAAUAGUAAUAAUUAUAACGAUGACUUGUUUAUAUAGUAACAACAAAAAUAAUAAAGUCCCAUAUGUCACGUCAAA